ensembl:lncRNA novel transcript
GCUGUAGCCUGGAGGCUCCGGGCGCGGGGAAGUCAUGCUCGCUUCACGGAGGCAAUAGCUAGCCGAAUGGGAGUGAGGCCCUAAUGAUUCUAGAUGACCAAACUAACAAACUGAAAUCGUUAUGACCCAGAGCUAACAGAAAGCAGUGGCUCUGCAUCACACAUAGACUGCAGAAUGAGCCCCUGGAGUGAAUGGUCACAAUGCGAUCCUUGUCUCAGACAAAUGUUUCGUUCAAGAAGCAUUGAGGUCUUUGGACAAUUUAAUGGGAAAAGAUGCACCGACGCUGUGGGAGACAGACGACAGUGUGUGCCCACAGAGCCCUGUGAGGAUGCUGAGGAUGACUGCGGAAAUGACUUUCAAUGCAGUACAGGCAGAUGCAUAAAGAUGCGACUUCGGUGUAAUGGUGACAAUGACUGCGGAGACUUUUCAGAUGAGGAUGAUUGUGAAAGUGAGCCCCGUCCCCCCUGCAGAGACAGAGUGGUAGAAGAGUCUGAGCUGGCACGAACAGCAGGCUAUGGGAUCAACAUUUUAGGGAUGGAUCCCCUAAGCACACCUUUUGA